AAAAAAUUUCAGGAACAUGUCACCGAAAUCUGGUCACUCUUAUACCCACAAGGUGCUUUCCUUCAAUUUAUCUUCCGUUUUUGGGUCAAAUUUUUGAUUUUUGAUUUUUGAACCAGGAUUCAAAGAUGGGAUGUCUCGAAUUUGAAUCUGGGAUUUGAAACGUUGAGGCAUCCUUCAGGGAAAUAACUAAAUGACACUCCGCGGAUGCUAACUGAUACUGGUGACGUUCCUGUUCAAAUGGAGUCGGAGAUGACAGACUGAUGAAUGUCAUAAGUGAGUCCGUACGUCAAGCUUGUUAUGGAACAGGUAGGUUAUUAUUUCUAGAAGCUUCCAAUUGAAAAAACUACUGCAAGUAUUGAUCUUAGGGAAAAAGAAAACAGCGAUUUUAGAAGAUUUCAUUGGAAAAACUAUUACAAUUCUGCUCUUCUGUUUCCAAAACUCUCCUUGUUCUGUUGGUAGAAUAAGUUGCAUUUAUAGUAAUGCCCAGUGGACUGAAAACUGGAGGAAUUUCUCCUUUUUAA